rnacentral:rRNA from 1 species
AUUGAACGCUGGCGGCAGGCCUAACACAUGCAAGUCGAGCGGCAGCACGGGAGCUUGCUCCUGGUGGCGAGCGGCGGACGGGUGAGGAACACGUGGGAAUCUACCUAUUGGUGGGGGAUAACUUGGGGAAACUUAAGGUAAUACCGCAUUAUCCCUACGGGGGAAAGCAGGGGACCUUCGGGCCUUGCGCCGAUAGAUGAGCCCGCGUCGGAUUAGCUAGUUGGUAGGGUAAAGGCCUACCAAGGCGACGAUCCGUAGCUGGUCUGAGAGGAUGAUCAGCCACACUGGGACUGAGACACGGCCCAGACUCCUACGGGAGGCAGCAGUGGGGAAUAUUGGACAAUGGGGGCAACCCUGAUCCAGCCAUGCCGCGUGUGUGAAGAAGGCCUUAGGGUUGUAAAGCACUUUCAGUGGGGAGGAAGGCUUCUGGCUAAUAACCUGGAGUACUUGACGUUACCCACAGAAGAAGCACCGCUAAUUU